rnacentral:lncRNA from 10 species
GUCGACUUCAGACUGUUGUGCUGGCAAGGAGAAUUUCAAGCCAGUGGAUCUUAGCUUGCUGGGCUCUGUCGGGGUGGGAUCCGCUGAGCUAGACCACUUGGCUCCUUGGCUUCAGACUCCUUUUUAGGGGACUGAACAGUUCUGUCUCUCUGGCAUUCCAGGUGCCACUGGGGUAUGAAAAAAGACCUCCUGCAUCUAACUCGGUGUCUGCCCAAAUGGCCGCCCAGUUUUGUGCUUGAAACCCAGGGCCCUGGUGGUGUAGGCACCCAAGGGAAUGUCCUAGUCUGAGGGUUGUGAAGACCAUGGGAAAAGUGUAGUAUCUGGGCCGGAUAGCUCCGUUCCCCAAGGCACAGUCCCUCAUGGCUUCCCUUGGAUAGGGGAGGAAGUUCUCCAACCCUUUGCACUUCCCGGGUGAGGCGACACCCCAUUCUGCUUUGGCUGUCCCUCCGUGGGCUGCACCCAUUGUCUAACCCAUCUCAGUGAGACUCAUCUCCACCAAAUUAUGCCAGCACUCCUCCUGGA